UGAAUAGCACCUUACUGCUUGGAUAACCGUGGUAAUUCUAGAGCUAAUACAUGCUGAAAAUCCCGACUUCGGAAGGGGUGUAUUUAUUAGAUUUAAAAACCAAUGGGCCCCCCCUGGGCUCUCUGGUGAUUCAUGAUAACUGCGCGAAUCGCAUGGCCUUUGCGCCGGCGAUGGUUCAUUCAAAUUUCUUCCCCAUCAGCUUUCGAUGUUUGGGUAGUGGCCAAACAUGGUUGCAACGGGUAACGGAGGGUUAGGGCUCGGCCCCGGAGAAGGAGCCUGAGAAACGGCUACUACAUCCAAGGAAGGCAGCAGGCGCGCAAAUUGCCCAAUCCCGACACGGGGAGGUAGUGACGAUAAAUACUGAUACAGGGCUCUUUUGGGUCUUGUAAUUGGAAUGAGUGCGAUUUAAAUCCCUCAACGAGGAACAAUUGGAGGGCAAGUCUGGUGAACGUUGCUGGUGCCAGAGAGAGCCGCCCCUCGGUAAAUAAAGCAGCUAGUCGAGUGCUCAUAUAAGUGACGGGUGAGCGCCGGCGAGACGACCUGGGUCGGGGAAGGCUAAGGGCUUUCCCGCAUGGGGGCCUACGCUAAUCCCGAGCAGAGCCGAUGUUUCACGGCCUGUGUAGAGCGCGCCAAGGUGUCGGUUCCGGCACCCCCUGCCAGCGCGGGGGGGGCUCCCGGGGCUUAAGGUACGUGCCAAUCCCCUGCGAAAGCAGGGCCCUGCGUAUGAGCACCCGUUAUGCAGAGCCGCAGGGGGGCCUCUUAGCGAGGUCGUAAUCUCACAGCAAGUUCAAUCUCGGGGGGCUCAAGCGAGAAAUCCAAGGGCUGUCGCGGUUCGCCGGCCGCGGGUUGUGUUUUGAUCGGGGAACUUUCGCUUUUGGCGGCGGCGGCAGCGGCAGUGAGCAUAUAGGCCCCGAGGGUGGCGGGACGGCGUUGUGAGAUCGCCGCCAUGCGCCCGUAGGCGUGGCCGUGGGAUGGAUCCGCUUGCGCUCGAGCCUUCCGGGAGGGGGACUCUGAUUUUGAUGCCUUAAAUGGCCAGCAGCCGCGGUAAUUCCAGCUCCAAUAGCGUAUAUUAAAGUUGUUGUGGUUAAAAAGCUCGUAGUUGAACCUUGGGCCUGGCCGGCCGGUCCGCCUCACCGCGUGCACUGGUCCGGCCGGGCCUUCCCCCCCGUGGAACCCCCAUGCCCUUCGCUGGGCAUGGCGGGGAAACGGGACUUUUACUUUGAAAAAAUUAGAGUGCUCCAGGCAGGCAAUUAUGCUCGAAUACGUUAGCAUGGAAUAAUGGAAUAGGACGUGCGGUUCUAUUUUGUUGGUUUCUAGGACCGCCGUAAUGAUUAAUAGGGACAGUCGGGGGCAUCAGUAUUCAAUUGUCAGAGGUGAAAUUCUUGGAUUUAUUGAAGACUAGCUACUGCGAAAGCAUUUGCCAAGGAUGUUUUCCUUAAUCAGGAACGAAAGUUAGGGGAUCGAAGACGAUCAGAUACCGUCGUAGUCUUAACCAUAAACUAUGCCGACUAGGGAUCGGACGAUGUUAUCUUUUGACUCGUUCGGCACCUUUACGAGAAAUCAAAGUGCUGGGGCUCCAGGGGGAA
rnacentral:rRNA from 1 species